AGACUUCCUGCCCCUGCUCUGCACUCUCAGGUAUUCCCUGCUCUUACUCCAAAAAGAUGGACCCAGGUAAGCACUGUGGCUGAGAGGCUGGGAAUUGGAAGAAGGGAGAGAGCAGGAGAGCGGUAAAGGCAGGGACUAUCAGUCAGCCAUAACUAGUGCGUGCCAAAAAUGUACGUGCGUGUGUGUUUGUAUGAAGGCAGUGGUAGGGGUCCACAAUGAAGACAAGCCCUUACAUACUGUAGAACAUGUUACAGUUUAAAAAGCAUGCUUACUCAUCAUGUUCUUAGGUGCUUCUAAGGGUAGGUGCUUCUCCCACCGCACACUCAAGGCCCAGGGGAGCUAGGGGUUAUGCUCAGGGAAAGGCCAUAGAGGUGCAGCUGGGUCGGAAUCCAGAAUCCAGUUCUUGGGAGCUGUGCCAUCGGCUUCCCUCGAAAUGAACAAAAGACCGUCCUAGCCUUUAAGAAGUAGCAGGUGAUUCCCACACCAAUGGGGCACUUCAGAACAUGCAGGACCACUCAGGUGGGUGCUGCAGGAGCCCAGUGGACCCACAGCUGGGCAGCCUGGAUGGCUC
rnacentral:lncRNA from 10 species